AGUGAACGCUGGCGGUAGGCCUAACACAUGCAAGUCGAACGGCAGCACAGUAAGAGCUUGCUCUUACGGGUGGCGAGUGGCGGACGGGUGAGGAAUACAUCGGAAUCUACUUUUUCGUGAGGGAUAACGUAGGGAAACUUACGCUAAUACCGCAUACGACCUACGGGUGAAAGCAGGGGAUCUUCGGACCUUGCGCGAUUGAAUGAGCCGAUGUCGGAUUAGCUAGUUGGCGGGGUAAAGGCCCACCAAGGCGACGAUCCGUAGCUGGUCUGAGAGGAUGAUCAGCCACACUGGAACUGAGACACGGUCCAGACUCCUACGGGAGGCAGCAGUGGGGAAUAUUGGACAAAGGGCGCAAGCCUGAUCCAGCCAUACCGCGUGGGUGAAGAAGGCCUUCGGGUUGUAAAGCCCUUUUGUUGGGAAAGAAAAGCAGCAGGUUAAUACCCCGCUGUUCUGACGGUACCCAAAGAAUAAGCACCGGCUAACUUCGUG
rnacentral:rRNA from 1 species